GAUUAGAGCUUGGAGACCUUGGACCAGAUAAAAUAGGCUACAGCAUCAACAUCUUCAAGGGAAAGCUGUGGUCUUGCACGACAAGCCGCGCAUCUGCGAUCACCCCAGAGACCCGAGCAAGAGUUCACAGAUGAAGAUGCUGCAGAGAACCUUCAGUGCCUCCAGCUCAUCGGCGGGAGAACGGAUCCGUUCGCACCGGUGUGUGUUUGGACUUGUCGGUUCUGUGA